AAGGAGAGCAGUGCAGGCAGGGGGGCAGGUAGGCAGGCAAGGAGGGAAGGCAAGGAGGGCAGUGCAGGCAGAGAAGGCAGGUGCAGACAGGGUAAUGCAGGGAGGGCAAGCAGCGCAGGAUGAAGAGCAGGGCAGAGAGGGCAGCGCAGAAAGGACCCACUGCCCAUACGGGAGCAUCCCCCGCCGACAGACGCCCCGAGCUGGGUGAAGAAGUAGGGGGAACCCGAGAGAAAGAACGAGGAGCGGCCGGGCCGGACUCUGCCGGCCGACCAUCGCUCAUCCACCCCCGCCCCGCACUCGCGGCCGGGCCGGGGCGCGGAGCCCCCGCGGAGCCCCCGCGAAGCCCCCGCAGCCUCCCGCGCCGCGCGGGGCCGGCCCCGCAGCCGGACAAACAAUGUGAGACUUGGCGGAACAAAAGCGGCGGGGCUUGAGUUGCUGAACACGUCUGAGGCCAGACGAGCCGCGCGAUUUAUUGGACUCGGAGAGCCCUGGCUCCGGGUCCAGUGGCUGCUUCCCCCCCGGCCGGCCCCAGCCCCGCUCUGCCCACGGGGGAGAAGCCGCUCGCGUGGGGAGCGCGGCUCAGCCACGUGCCCCCGAACCCCUGGAGAAGAGGAGGUUGGCUUUUUCCUGAUGAUGCUGUAGACUCCAGGGGUUGGUUGUUAUCUUUGGUUAUCUAGCUGUAUGAGUGGUGUCGAUUCUUCAUAAAGCUAGAUAACCGAAAGUAAAAAUAACCCCAUUACACGCCUGAGGAGGAUGUGGAGAAGAAAGGAAAUUCAUCAAAAGGAAGAGGAGGAAAAGAAAAAAUGAAAAGAGGAAAAAAAAAAAAGGAAGAGAAAGGAAAUGAGAGGCAGAAAAAAAAUGGGGAAAAAGACAACUUUCAGAGUCUGGAAUUAAAACCCGAGCCCGAGGUCCGUUCUGCCGCAGCUCCGGGGGUGCCCGUGACACCAGGGAGGACGUGAGUUCAUCCCAUGUGAAGCUCAUUUUCUGACCGACGAGUCGCAGGUCUCUGUCCCCCGUGAAAGUUCACAGGGAAUAUCCUGCUCAGAUCAGCUCGUUACCACAUGAACCCAGGAGUGGGGGCUAUAUGGAAACCCCCACCCUCCAAAAGCCAUGAGCCCCUGCCUACGGGGAUCUGACAACAGGACCUGCCUUGUGGGACCCUCAGCAGAAGCCCCUCACCACGGCUGAUCCCACAUGCACUCUCCUCCUCCUCCUCCUCCAAGCAGCAGACCCCGGCCUGCAGCACGACUUAGAUCAUGAUUUGCACCAGCGUCCGUCCAGGCUGAGCAGGGCUGCUGAGCAGCCUCGACGUGGGGACACAGCACCAGCUCAGGGAUGGAUGGGUGGAGAGGACACCGGGACAUCCCCAUCCCACUGCUGCACAACACCCCAGGGACCACUUGCUGGUCAAGAACACAAGGCUGGAAGGAAAAAAAAAAAGGGAAGAAAAAAGGGAAAAAGAGUCUCCAACCCCAGGAAAUCUGUGUUAAUUGCUUAUGAAUGUCUCUGUCUAAAAAAUUAUCAAAUUGAUGUUGUAGUGCUUUUUUUUGACAGGCUGUCUGUUACAUUUUUUUUAAAAUAUUCAUGCACUGAAAUCUAAUUACUAGGCAAAUUUAAUGAUAAUGAAAUGAAGGCACUUUAGCAGAAAGCACAGGGCCUUGUUAAUGUUUUCUCAGCCUCUGUCUUGUUCAUAUUUUUAAAAUUAUGUUUUUUUACAACUGUCUUUCUUGCCUAUGAAAAAAAAAGAUUGCUGAAAAUAAAACUCGGAUUGUCGAUAA